UUUGUGUUUAAGGUGGGUAGACACUAGGGACAUUGGGACGUUAGUUUAUGAUGAUUGUAACAACCAUUCUAUGUACUUGUAAUGAACUGGUAAGCUUAUUAUUGGCAUGCUGCUAUCUGAUAGACAUAGGUCAGGAU